UUAAGAAUAUCGACUUUAAAACGAAAAGUCAUCAAGUCUGUUAACUGUUAAUACACGAUUCAUUCGCUAACGAUUUAUUUCAUGGUACAUUUGUCGUGCAAAAUGUCACAUAUAGUGUAAAUUAGUAGACGGGAAAAGGCCCCAAAAUACGAAACAGACGGAAGCAAAUUCACAGUCAUUUUAGUUCGUAAUGAACGGUCAGUAAUAAAUGGUAUAUAAUCAGUCAGAAAAGCUGAGUGUUUAUGAGACACUGUAUGAGUUUAAAUGCUCUAGAACUGUGGUGUAGAUAGAGCAGGAACCUGAGAGAGUGCACACAAAGUACAUAAGGCCGCUCCUCACUAAUCACACCGUGCCACGCGGCGUCGGCUCUCUGCUCGUCACUAAUCUGAGAUAAGCAAUAAACAAGACAUAUUUUUUUUCCAGUCCAGGAAAAAAAAAUAGUUUUUUAAGCAACUUUCAUUUCAUUUGAAAUUAAAAUUUUUCACCAUGGAGAUGACCUGGACCCGCCGCCCACAGGCCCACACCCACACAGCUACUCCUAGUCCUGCUGAAACCGUACAGAACUCUGCGUUGUGAUCGACUUGGACGCAAUCAGGAGGACUGGGGCAGUGCUCUGGCCCUGCGAAUCCCGAAUCCUGAAGGACAUCCAUCAAUCUGGAGGAAGUCUACACUGCUCAAACGUCAUUCUUACUCUCCAAUCUGUGGACAGACACACACACACACACACACACACACACACACACACACACACACACACACACACACACACACACACACAUGCACUGUGAAAGUGAGAAACUCCACAA